AACGUAGGAGACAAACGUUAUCCGGAUUUACUGGGCGUAAAGGGCGUGUAGGUGGUUUUGUAAGUCUGGCGUGAAAUUUCUCGGCUUAACCGAGGCAGGUCGUCGGAUACUAUAAGACUAGAGGACGGUAGAGGCGUGUGGAAUUCCGGGUGUAGUGGUGAAAUGCGUAGAGAUCCGGAGGAACACCAGUGGCGAAGGCGGCAUCCUGGACCAAAACUGACGCUGAAUAGCGAAAGCCAGGGGAGCAAACGGG
rnacentral:rRNA from 1 species